CUCUCAGAGGCCGUUUUAGCCAUCGUCUGCCUCCCGGCGGAGCGGAUUCCCGGUGGUCAUCGCCUAUCUGGGCGCCCUGGCUCAUCGCCUUUCCAACGCCGCCUAGCCACCGGCCGCCCCCGCGGGAUAGGGCCCCGGCCUGGGGUGAGUUCUUUCCAUCUGUCGUGGAAGCGGGAACAGCAGAAGCCUGGGCAGGCCCCUGCCUCUGUGGACCCAGAAGAAGAAGGAAGAUGCCUUUGUCUCAGCAUUCCCGAGGGACAGCCCCAGAAGUGCGCUCAGCCCUGGACCCGUCCCUGUGGCUGGGAGGGGGAGCACGCUGAUUGCAUCUUGUUCUCACCUGCCCCGCACCUGCGUCUGUGGGUGGAGGCCCUUCCCUCCCCAAAGCCACAGGGACUCUGCAAGGUGGGAGGAUGCAGAGAGAUGGCCCCAGAUGUUUACUGUGGACGGCUGGGCUCCUGGAUGACGCAGCAGAGUGGUUUGUGGCGGGGGCAAGGAAUUGGUCCUCCUCACCUUGGAAUAUGUAGGAGCUGGGAGAGUCCAUGCCUGAAUGAUCAUGGAGACUGAUAUAGGAAUGAAGCUCCGCAGUUCUCUCCUCUGAACUGCUGAACCUGAGAGUCUGUUUUUUCAUGGGACAUCACCUCACUCCAUCGGGGAGCCAGGAAGUCCAGCCUCACAGUGUCCACCUCUUGUUCCUAGAACAGCAGCCCAGUGCAUGGAAUGGCACCUCUCCCGGAGAUUUCUUCAGAAGCUCCUUUCCUAACUCUGCGCAUCUCUUGAGCAGUGGUGGCAGAGGGGUCCCUUGCUUGACUUGAGAAGCCCCGCCUGGGCGCUGCAGACCUCUUGCCGGGCUCUUGUGUUUGGCAGCUCAGGGAGGAGAUGGAGCUCCCUGUUUUAAUCAAACGAGGGGCUCACUCUAGGGCAGCUGCCCAAGUGAGUCAACUUAGACGGUUCCACUGUGUUUUCACAUCCCUGGUCCGACUUGUAUCCCAACUUCUGGGGGCUGCUUGUAAGAGACACAGCUGUGCUUUCCACGCUGUUGGGCUCAAGGUGUGUGUGUGUGUGUGUGUGUGUGUGUGUGUGUGUGUUCCCGUGUACUCAGUCAUGUCUGACUCUUUGCAACCCCCUGGACUGUAACCCACCAGGCUUUUCUGUCUGUGGGUUAUCCCAGGCAAGAAUACUGGAGUGGACUGCCAUUUCCUUUUCCGGGAUCUUGCCAACCCAAGGAUCGAACCCAUGUCUCUUGUGUCUCCUGCAUUGGCUGGCAGAUUCUUUACUGCUGAGCCACCAGGGAAGCCUGAGCUAAAGGUAGGGGACCUCAUUUUCCUUAUACAGGUAGCCAUUGUUUGAGGAGCUGUGACUCAUGCUCACCGGUUGCAGAGUUCUUAAAGGAAACCCUCGCGCCCCAACAGGUGCUCCUAGCUGUCCUCAUUCACUGUCGGUAGAAAAGCUCAUUGUCAUGGUAAUCACCUGGGAUAUGGACAGGCCUUUUUAGGGAGUGUGGAGAAGUGCAGGAAAGGGGUGUGGGGGAGGUGAUCCACGUCCCAGGAAGCUGCUAGCCACCGCAUGUAACGUGGCCCCAUUUAAUAGACAAGGAAACGAGGCUUCCAGGACUUAAGAUACUUGUCCAAAAUCACUUUGCUGGCCAGCGGCGGAGCCAGAAGCAAUCUGCUUCUAGGUUGGCACGUGAUUGUCCAGCUCGGAGUUGCAAGCUUGGCUUCCUGCUGCUUCUGGGAAAUGC
ensembl:lncRNA